rnacentral:rRNA from 1 species
AUGAAUGGGGGAAAAGAUAAGAUCAAAUGGACCCUCACUGCUGAUAAAAAAUUCUCUGUUAAAUCUUUAUACAAAGAAUUGAUUACGUCAGGCCUGAAAAUUCCACAGAAAUACCUUUGGAAAAUCAAAGUUCCUGCAAAAAUAAAAGUCUUCUUGUGGUUAGUAAAUAAGAAGAGUAUUUUGACUAGGGAUGUCUUACACAAAAAAGGGUGGAAAGGGGGGAAAGAAUGUGUGUUCUGUGGACAAGAUGAAUCAAUUGAUCAUCUACUGUUCACAUGCACUGCGACUUCUUUGCUUUGGAGCUUGGUCAGAUGUGUUUGUGAUCUGAAGACCAUUCCUUUAAAUGUUAAAGAUUGUUUUGGGAGAUGGAUUAGCAAAUUUAACAAAGAAGACAAGAAAAUGGUGAUGAUUGGGGUUUCUGCUUUAUUCUGGGCAAUUUGGAAAAGUGGAAAUGCAAUUGUUUUUGAGAGAAAAAAGGAUUAA